rnacentral:rRNA from 1 species
GAAUCGCGAUAAGUAAUGUGAAUUGCAGAUUUUCCGUGAAUCAUCGAAUCUUUGAACGCACCUUGCGCUCCUUGGUAUUCCGAGGAGCAUGCCUGUUUGAGUGUCAUCGAAACCUCGGAUCGACGCUUCGACCCCGUCGAAGCUCGGUUCGGACUGUGGGAGUCUGCCGGCGAAGCGUGACUUCGUCGGCUCUCCUCAAAAGCAUUAGCUGUGGGUGGCGAGCCUGGCAUGGCACGGCCUGUUCGACGUCGUAGUGAUCGUCGCGGGCUGGAAGUGUACGGCUCGACGUGACCCAUGCUUCUCGAGUCUUGCGAGCCCGUCCCUCCGUGGGACGGCCGCGCCCCAUCGAAGCUUGACCUCAAAUCAGGUAGGACUACCCGCCGAACUUAA